rnacentral:lncRNA from 1 species
ACCAAGUCACAGCCCCCAGAUCCAUACAUGGUGGGUGAGACGCUACGGCUCAGGUGCUGACCUCUGCCUGCCAAGGUGCACAGUCCCAGACACAGGGCCAGAUGACACUCUAUUCCUGAUAUGAUCCUCAGGGACCCGCUACAUAGACCCCGCCCUGUGUAAAGGGACAGGCUGGCUCAGUAGGAAUGGCUCUGUGACUCUAACAGAAUCCUAGCAUAUAAAUGGUGGCUUUCCAACACCUUUGAGGCCAGCUCUGAGUGUGGGGAUUAGAAGCCAUAGAAGCAGCACCAAAUGGAGGUAAGUUGUACUGCUCCAAUGGCUUUUUCAAAGCACCUUCCUCUUUCC